rnacentral:rRNA from 1 species
AAAUUGAAGAGUUUGAUCAUGGCUCAGAUUGAACGCUGGCGGCAGGCCUAACACAUGCAAGUCGAACGGUAACAGGAAACAGCUUGCUGUUUCGCUGACGAGUGGCGGACGGGUGAGUAAUGUCUGGGAAACUGCCUGAUGGAGGGGGAUAACUACUGGAAACGGUAGCUAAUACCGCAUAAUGUCGCAAGACUAAAGAGGGGGACCUUCGGGCCUCUUGCCAUCGGAUGUGCCCAGAUGGGAUUAGCUAGUAGGUGGGGUAACGGCUCACCUAGGCGACGAUCCCUAGCUGGUC